CGGGUGAGUAAUGCUUGGGAAUCUAGCUUAUGGAGGGGGAUAACUACGGGAAACUGUAGCUAAUACCGCGUAGUAUCGGAAGAUGAAAGUGUGGGACCUUCGGGCCACAUGCCAUAGGAUGAGCCCAAGUGGGAUUAGGUAAUUGGUGAGGUAAAGGCUCACCAAGCCGACGAUCUCUAGCUGGUCUGAGAGGAUGACCAGCCACACUGGGACUGAGACACGGCCCAG
rnacentral:rRNA from 1 species